GUAUGCCUACGGGGGGCAGCAGUAGGGAAUUUUCGUCAAUGGGCGCAAGCCUGAACGAGCGAUGCCGCGUGAGUGAAGAAGGGUUUCGGCUCGUAAAGCUCUGUUGGUAGUGAAGAAAGAUAGAGGUAGUAACUGGCCUUUAUUUGACGGUAAUUACUUAGAAAGUCACGGCUAACUACGUGCCAGCAGCCGCGGUAAUACGUAGGUGGCAAGCGUUGUCCGGAUUUAUUGGGCGUAAAGCGAGUGCAGGCGG
rnacentral:rRNA from 1 species